UACGUAGGGGGCAAGCGUUGUCCGGAAUUAUUGGGCGUAAAGAGCUCGUAGGCGGUUUGUUGCGUCGGCCGUGAAAUCCCGAGGCUCAACCUCGGGUCUGCAGUCGAUACGAGCAAACUAGAGUGUUGCAGGGGAGACUGGAAUUCCUGGUGUAGCGGUGAAAUGCGCAGAUAUCAGGAGGAACACCGGUGGCGAAGGCGGGUCUCUGGGCAACAACUGACGCUGAGGAGCGAAAGCGUGGGGAGCGAACAGG
rnacentral:rRNA from 1 species